AUGUCCAUCAACGCCCACUAUAUCAAUGCAGAAUUCAUCUACAAGAAGAAGAUCAUAAGUUUCGUAGAGGUGAAGUAUCCUCACACGGGCUAUGCGAUAGAAGAGGAACUUGUUGGUUUCCUAACAGAAUGGGGCAUAAGGGGCAAGCUGUUCACUUUGACACUAGAUAAUGCCAGUAAUAAUACUAAUACAUGUGAUGAGUUAAUAAAAUAUCACAAACCUGAGCUGCUCCUUGAAGGUCAACAUUUGCAUGUGAGGUGCUGUGCACACAUUCUCAAUAUCUUGGUUCAGGAUGGAAUGAAGAUAAUCCAUGAAGCUAUUGACAUGAUACAAGAGUUGCUGAAGUUUAUUGACUCUUCUCCUUCAAGACUUCAGGAUUUCAAUACAACUGCAAGUGGGAUGGGUCUGCCUUCAAAGAAAGUUAUGCAACUCGAAAGAUGA
rnacentral:rRNA from 1 species